rnacentral:rRNA from 1 species
GACGAACGCUGGCGGCGUGCUUAACACAUGCAAGUCGAACGGAAAGGCCCUGCUUUUGUGGGGUGCUCGAGUGGCGAACGGGUGAGUAACACGUGAGUAACCUGCCCUUGACUUUGGGAUAACUUCAGGAAACUGGGGGUAAUACCGGAUAGGAGCUCCUGCUGCAGGGUGGGGGUGGGAAAGUUUCGGCGGUUGGGGAUGGACUCGCGGCUUAUCAGCUUGUUGGUGGGGUAGUGGCUUACCAAGGCUUUGACGGGUAGCCGGCCUGAGAGGGUGACCGGCCACAUUGGGACUGAGAUACGGCCCAGACUCCUACGGGAGGCAGCAGUGGGGAAUAUUGCACAAUGGGCGGAAGCCUGAUGCAGCAACGCCGCGUGCGGGAUGACGGCCUUCGGGUUGUAAACCGCUUUCGCCUGUGACGAAGCGUGAGUGACGGUAAUGGGUAAAGAAGCACCGGCUAACUACGUG